UGUAUAAUUUUCCUUGUGAUUGUUAGCAUGGAAAAAGAAGAAGACUACUUAGCUGAGCUAACACCAUCUAACUCAAAUCCUUCAAGCAUGACAUCCCAACAACGACUCCAAACCUUUCAAAUUACAUGCACAUUUGGCAUGGACCUGCGUGGUCACCAAUGCCCGCGUGGUCAUCGACUUUUAUGCAAUAUCUUGAUGGCAACCAAUAUCCAAUCAACAUUCAGAAUAUUGGUUACAAAUUUCAGUAUGGGAUGAGACCUCCCAUUCCUCUCAUCACUACAAGCUCUGCAACGAGCUCAAGAGUUCGUACAGAGGAUCCACCCAAUUGUAAGGAAACUGAAGCACCAUGUACAUCCUCUAGACUUGAUGAAGAGAGUACAAAGGAUACACCAGAAUCACAGGAUACCGAAGAUGGUAGUUCUGGGACACCUGAGUGUGUUCAAAUAGAUGGUGGUGAUACGAUUGAAGAGCCAAAGUCGAGGAUGAAAUUUAAUUCUUUUGAAGAGUUAUUGAGCUAUUAUAAGCAAUAUAGUAAAAAAUGCGGGUUUGGGGUGAUGACCAAAAGGAGUGAAGGAUGGGACUGUUAGAUAUGUCACACUUGCUUGUGCCCGCGUUGGGAAGGCCCGGAAUAGAACGUUGAAUGUCACUAAACCACGUCCGACAGCAAAAACGGAAUGUAAGGCAAAAAUUAAUGCCUUAAAAGUUGACGGAAAUGUGCGGUUAACAACAUGUCAUAAUAUCCAUAAUCAUGGCCUCAGUCCACAGAAAUCCCGUUUCUUUCGUUGUAAUAGAGAAGUUAGCGAGACAGUAAAAAGAGUUCUAGAUACAAAUGACUUGGCUGUCAUUAAAAUGAAUAAGAGUUUUGGCAGUCUUGUUGUUGGUGUGGGCGGA